rnacentral:rRNA from 1 species
AUCAUUCUAGAUACACUUUCCAGUACAUCUACUUUGUUACGACUUAUCUUUCUUUAAAAGAAAGAGUGACGGGCGAUGUGUACAUGUUUUAGAACUAAAAUCAUAAUAAUUAUUUUAUUAAUAUUACUAUUAAAUCCACCUUUAAAAUUAUAUUCCAAUAAUUUAUCCGUAUAAAUUAAUUUAUUGUAACCCAUUUCUACUAAACUAUAAACUGCACCUUGAUCUGAAAUAAAAUUUUAUAAAAAUUAUUGAAUAUUAUUCUCUUAUAAGAUAAUCUGAUAACGACGGUAUACAAACUUAAUAAAUUCAGUAAAAUUUAACGUGGUUUAUCAAUUACAGAACAGGUUCCUCUAAAUAGAUUAAAACACCGCCAAAUUUUUUAAGUUUCAAGAAUAUAUCUAUUACUACCUAAGUCUUUAAAAUUUACAUUCUAUAUAAUAGGGUAUCUAAUCCUAGUUUAUUAUCAAAAUUUAAUAGCCUAAUUUAUUAAAAAAUAAAAUAUUAUAUAAAUUCUAAUUUAACCUAAAAAUUAAUUUUUUUUUUAAUUUAAAUAAAUUAACUAUAAACUAAUAAAAUUUAUUUUCAUAAUAUGUAUAACCGCAGAUGCUGGCACAAAUUUAUCCUAUAAUAAAAUUUAUUACUAAAUCAAAAUUUCUUUUAUAUAUAAUAUUAAAUACUGCGUUUAAAUAUUUAUAUUUUUUAAAAAUAAUAUAUAUCCAUACAACAAUUUACAUGUAAGUCAUAAAUUAAAUAAAUUUUGAGCUAAAAUAAAACUU